CUACCUUUUUAAAGAUUAAUGCAAACCAAGAUUUGCCAUAUAUUUGAGAAGUAGUCUGAAGAAUACUUUGUAGUCACUUUUAUAAUUUCCUAACAAAUGUAAAGUAUGAUGAAAAAUUUAUGCUCAUCAAGAUUCAUCAUUUAACUAUUUGCCUUGUCAUUUAAACAUUUUUUUUCAUGCAUGUAGACUGCAGUGUGCAUAAAGGACUUUAACAGCCACAUUUUCCUCUCACAUCUUUCCCCCUCCACCUUCUCCCUCUCCCUCAUUUUUUUUUUUAGGUUGUCUUUUCUCUAAGACAUAGAUCAGGUCACAUUGUAUUGAACUAAGUCCCUGUUUCUGCAUCAGUACACAGACAAACUAAGACAUGGCCUUUAUAAAACAUAUCAC